CAACAACGGAAAGGAGGUGGUCGAAUGUCUCAUUGUCACAUGCCGCUGAAGGCGGAUCGUCGGGACUCGGCCGGCCUCGAUACGGGUCGUCGGAUCUAAACGCAUCGGCCGUCAAUGGCUGACAAUGGAAGGGCCGCUCCAGCGAUGGGGCGGCCCU
rnacentral:sRNA from 1 species